GACGAACGCUGGCGGCGUGCUUAACACAUGCAAGUCGAACGAUGAAGCCGGAGCUUGCUCUGGUGAAUUAGUGGCGAACGGGUGAGUAACACGUGAGUAACUUGCCCUUGACUCCGGGAUAACUGCGGGAAACUGUAGCUAAUACCGGAUACGACCCUCGGAGGCAUCUCCUGGGGGUGGAAAGAAUUUCGGUCAAGGAUGGACUCGCGGCCUACCAGCUAGUUGGUGAGGUAAAGGCUCACCAAGGCGACGACGGGUAGCCGGCCUGAGAGGGUGACCGGCCACACUGGGACUGAGACACGGCCCAGACUCCUACGGGAGGCAGCAGUGGGGAAUAUUGCACAAUGGGCGCAAGCCUGAUGCAGCAACGCCGCGUGAGGGAUGACGGCCUUCGGGUUGUAAACCUCUUUUAGCAGGGAAGAAGCGAAAGUGACGGUACCUGCAGAAAAAGCACCGGCUAACUACGUGCCAGCAGCCGCGGUAA
rnacentral:rRNA from 1 species